rnacentral:rRNA from 1 species
GAUGAACGCUGGCGGCGUGCUUAACACAUGCAAGUCGAACGGAAAGGCCCAAGCUUGCUUGGGUACUCGAGUGGCGAACGGGUGAGUAACACGUGGGUGAUCUGCCCUGCACUUCGGGAUAAGCCUGGGAAACUGGGUCUAAUACCGGAUAGGACCACAUUUUGGAUGGUGUGGUGGAAAGUUUUUCGGUGUGGGAUGAGCUCGCGGCCUAUCAGCUUGUUGGUGGGGUAAUGGCCUACCAAGGCGUCGACGGGUAGCCGGCCUGAGAGGGUGUACGGCCACAUUGGGACUGAGAUACGGCCCAGACUCCUACGGGAGGCAGCAGUGGGGAAUAUUGCACAAUGGGCGCAAGCCCGAUGCAGCGACGCCGCGUGGGGGAGGACGGCCUUCGGGUUGUAAACUCCUUUCGCUAGGGACGAAGCGUUAUGUGACGGUACCUGGAGAAGAAGCACCGGCUAACUACGUG